rnacentral:rRNA from 1 species
CGGGGAAUUUUGGACAAUGGGGGAAACCCUGAUCCAGCCAUCCCGCGUGUGCGAUGAAGGCCUUCGGGUUGUAAAGCACUUCUGGCAGGAAAGAAACGUCAUGGGUUAAUACCCCGUGAAACUGACGGUACCUGCAGAAUAAGCACCGGCUAACUACGUGCCAGCAGCCGCGGUAAUACGUAGGGUGCAAGCGUUAAUCGGAAUUACUGGGCGUAAAGCGUGCGCAGGCGGUUCGGAAAGAAAGAUGUGACAUCCCAGAGCUCAACUUUGGAACUGCAUUUUUUGCUACCUGGCUUGCGUGUGUCAGCGGGAGGUUGAAUUCCGCGUGUAGCAGUGAAAUGCGUAGAUAUGCGGAGCAUCACCGAUGACGAAGGCAGCCUCCUGGAAUAACACUGACGCUCAUGCACGACAGCGUGGGGAGCAAACAGG